UACAGAGGGUGCGAGCGUUACUCGGAAUUACUGGGCGUAAAGCGUGCGUAGGCGGUUCGUUAAGUCCGUUGUGAAAGCCCUGGGCUCAACCUGGGAAUGGCAGUGGAUACUGGCGAGCUAGAGUGUGAUAGAGGAUGGUGGAAUUCCCGGUGUAGCGGUGAAAUGCGUAGAGAUCGGGAGGAACACCAGUGGCGAAGGCGGCCAUCUGGAUCAACACUGACGCUGAGGCACGAAAGCGUGGGGAGCAAACAGG
rnacentral:rRNA from 1 species